UUCAGGUUUUUUCUGGACUCCUGAUGACGUUUUGAGACAUCUCCUACAACUACAGCACCAGAAUUGGGCCGUUGAAGCAAGUUUUUUCGGGACUCCUGAUGACGUUUUGAGACAUCUCCUACAACUACAGCACCAGAAUUGGGCCGUUGAAGCAAGUCCGUCUUUUUGAAUUUUUUGUUUUGUCUGGACUCCUGAUGACGUUUUGAGACAUCUCCUACAACUACAGCACCAGAAUUGGGCCGUUGAAGCAAGUUCGUUUUUUU